UUUCCAGUGUAACAGAUUUCAUUGUCCCAUGUUUUUAAUUCUUAAAAAAGUUAUACAUUUGUCCCGUGAAGGGCAUGUGAAGUAUAUGUGAAAGAAAAAGACUAAAAUGGCUGAACUUUACUAAAAAUUGGUCACAUCUCAAAAUAAAUCUUGGUUAAGUGAUCAGUCAUAAAGAAAUGUAUUGAAGGGGAGUGGUGCACACGACAGGGGAAGGAAGAGUGCAUCUGGCAUCCAGACAUGAUUUUGAAGAGUGUUUAAUGAAGGAAGAAGAACUCUUGGCCAGUACUGGAUGACGUGGGCGCGCUCCUCCACAAAGCUUAUCCUCACCUCCUUUCUCCUCCACUACAGAGUGAGGGACCCCUUUUGACCUCUGGCUGAGGUGACUCCUUGGUGAGGAAACAAAGACUGGGGAAACCAGCUGAACGGAUCUGGCCUGAAAAGAGAGAGAUCACAAGCAGGCAGAGAGAGAGGGGGAAGCAGGC